ensembl:lincRNA
AGGUCUUUAUUAUAUCAGCUUAAUCUACACCCUAACUUAUACAAGCCCAGUGUGCCAUACCAAUGUUACCAUUUUCUGUUUGUGCCAUGAUGAAGGUUGGAAAUCACCAUGACUUAUACCUCUUCUUCUUUGUCCCUUUUGCUAGCCCCUUCUCCUCAAUGUCAUCGAGGAGGAAAUCCUUUCUCUCCUACCCAUCCAGUUCUGGGACCCCUGGAUGUAAGCCUCAUUGGCCACCAGAGCCCUGGUAUUCCCUGGUGGCACCCACAGAAACUGGGACUUGGGUGUGCCCAGGCUCCUUUCCAGGAGACUGCAGAGACCCUAAUCAAGGCAGAGGGAACAGUAUGAAGAUGGUACCUGCUGGGCUUCACAGUCUUUGUGUUACUGAACGAUCUGUCACAGCCACUGAUUCAGGAAAUGAAUGGUAAGUCUUGGUGCACUGCUGUGGCUAACUGCUCCAUCCUGGAGAAUUCCGAAGGGGAGGGACCAAUCCCAGCAUAACUCCUGGCUGGGUUUGCCAACACUGUUGCUGAACAAACUUGGAUAAAGUCAUUGCAAGAGCAGCCAAUAACUCUAGAGAUGAGGGUUUGGCAAAGAGAAAGGGAGAAAUUUUGUUGGAGUGCCAGCAGCUGGGGCAGGUGGCGGGUUCAGGCCUCAGCAAUCAAACUGCCUGCAAGAUUGACACCUCGAUUUUUAUAAGGUGAGAUUGGGAGGGUAUGUGCAAGAGAGCAGAUCAUGAUUAUGCGUGGGGGUUGGUAAGUGGUCAUGGCCAGGGAAGGGUAUGAGUGAGGUAUGUUCUAGACAUUCCAGUUGCUGUCAGGGUUUUUCUGGCCUGGUGGUGGGAAUGUUCUAGUCAUUGUCAGUGCCUCAAGAAAGUACCAUACGAAAUAACUGUUGAGGUCUCGUUGAGCAAGAGGUUUUACUGACAUUUGGAGAGUAAUGUAGGCCCCUAAACAUGGGUAAAAUAACCUGCCCCACAGGCUAAAGCUUUAAGAUAAACAGUUUUCUUUCACGGAAAGAAUGGUUGCAGUUCAAUCAUCUGCCUUUGUGUUGGGCUCUGUGAGGGUAAAUGGUACAUCUGACCAAGCCCUUGAAGAACUGUUUGUUAGAGCCUCAGGAGUCUCAUGGACAAAAGCUUGGUUGGUUUCAAAACUUUUGGGGUCUUGGCUCUUAGGUGUAGGUCUUAAAAGUUGGUGUUCCAGGGGCACCUGAGUGGCUCAGUUGGUUAAAUGACUGCCUUUGGCUCAGAUCAUGGUCCUGGAAUUCCAGGAUUGAGUCCCACAUCGGGCUCCUUGCUCAGUGGGGAGACUGCUUCUCUGACUCUCCCCUUCUCAUCCUCUGUCUCUCUCUCUCUCUCAUUCUCUCUCUCUCUCUCAAAUAAAUAAAUAAAAUCUUUUAAAAAAAGAAAAGUUGGUGUUCCAGAUGUGGGGUUACAAUCCUUUGCUUGGGGUGCUUGGGUGGCUCAGUCAGUUACAUGUCUGCCUUUGGCUCCAGUCAUGAUCUUAGGGUUCUGGGAUUGAGCCCCAGCUUCGGGCUCCCUGCUCAGUGGGGAAUCUACUUCUCCUUCUCCCUCUGCCGCUGUCUAUGCUUGUGCUCUCUCUCUGAAAUAAAUAAAAUCUUUAUAAAAAAUAAAAUAAAAUCCUUUGCUCCUUAGGAAGAAGCUUAGAGUUAUAGGUUCCCUCCUUAUUUUGGUUGCUGUGUUUGGUUUGUGUGUGGUUUGUGUGUUUGGUGAGGUUUAUGGUGAGAUUGUGUCGCAGCUCUCCUACUUGGUCCAGUGUGGGUUCUUUGUUUUUCACCCAAUGUGUGGGGUCACUUAGCUAUAUUUUGAGUCUAUUUCAAAGGAAAUUUAUUUAUUGUAGUUGUAAAUGUAAGGUUACCAUCCUGAACUGGAACCUCAUUUUUUUUCUUUAAUAUAUAUAUUCAAAGCCAGAUGGCUCUAUUGCCUUGUCCUGUAGAAUCUCAGAAAUCCAGCAAAUUUCCUUCAUCCCAUUCCAUUUUCUACCCAACUGGUAGUGUGUCCGCUGGUGUAAUCCCAUCUCUAUUCCUGACUUCAACUGAAUUGCCUGAUGAAAGCCAUUAGUAAUCUCUCUAAUUGUUGAGCCACACUCUUGGUCUUCUUUCCAGAACACACAUUUUCACUUUUUGGCAAUAAGGAUAGGUUGAGGAUUUUCCAGAUCUUCAAGUUCUGUUCCGUUUUUUUUUUUNNNNNNNNNNNNNNNNNNNNNNNNNNNNNNNNNNNNNNNNNNNNNNNNN